GGCCUGAUAGCUCAGUUGGUAGAGCAGGCGCCUGAAGAGCGCCGUGUCGUUGGUUCGAUUCCGACUCAGGCCACCA
rnacentral:tRNA from 2 species